rnacentral:rRNA from 3 species
GGGUGCGAUCAUACCAGCACUACAACACCGAAUUCC